rnacentral:rRNA from 1 species
AACGCGAAGAACCUUACCUGGGCUAGAAUGCCUCUGACAGCCCCAGAGAUGGGGUCUCCUGGGUAAAACCAGGCAGAGUGCAAGGUGCUGCAUGGCUGUCGUCAGCUCGUGUCGUGAGAUGUUGGGUUAAGUCCCGCAACGAGCGCAACCCUUAUCAAUAGUUGCCAGCGGUUCGGCCGGGCACUCUAUUGAGACUGCCGUUGACAAAACGGAGGAAGGUGGGGAUGACGUCAAGUCCUCAUGGCCUUUAUGUCCAGGGCUACACACGUACUACAAUGGCCGGUACAAAGCGCUGCAAACCUGCAAAGGGGAGCCAAUCGCAAAAAGCCGGUCUCAGUUCGGAUUGGAGUCUGCAACUCGACUCCAUGAAGUUGGAAUCGCUAGUAAUCGCAGAUCAGCACGCUGCGGUGAAUACGUUCCCGGGUCUUGUACACACC